AGGGAAAAGCUCAAAUUUGAAAUCUGGCAGUCUUCUGGCUGUCCGAGUUGUAAUUUAGAGAAGUGUUACCCGUGCUGGACCGUGUAUAAGUCUCCUGGAAUGGAGCGUCAUAGAGGGUGAGAAUCCCGUCUUUGACACGGACUCCCAGUGCAUUGUGGUGCGCUCUCAAA
rnacentral:rRNA from 1 species